CAAUGGUCCCCAUAUGAUCACUGAAGUUAAGCAAUGCUAUGCCUGGUCAGUACCUAGAUGGAUGACCACUUGGGAAUACCAGGUGCUGUAAG